rnacentral:rRNA from 1 species
UACGUAGGGUGCAAGCGUUGUCCGGAAUUAUUGGGCGUAAAGAGCUCGUAGGCGGUUUGUCGCGUCUGCUGUGAAAACCCGAGGCUCAACCUCGGGCCUGCAGUGGGUACGGGCAGACUAGAGUGCGGUAGGGGAGAUUGGAAUUCCCGGUGUAGUGGUGGAAUGCGUAGAUAUCGGGAGGAACACCAGUGGCGAAGGCAGGUCUCUGGGCCACUACUGACGCUGAGAAGCGAAAGCAUGGGGAGCGAAACAGG